UCUUGAAACACGGACCAAGGAGUCUAACAUGUGCGCGAGUCGUAGGGUUACGCUCAAAGCCCGAAGGCGCAAUGAAAGUGAAGGUCGGCCUCGAUUGCCGUUACCUAGGCGGGAUCCGUUCGGGCUUACCGGUCGUUCGCGGCUGAGCCCGGCGGCGCACCGCCGGCCCGUCUCGACCGCAUCGCCGGUGAGGCGGAGCGAGAGCGUACACGUUGGGACCCGAAAGAUGGUGAACUAUGCCCGGGCAGGACGAAGCCAGAGGAAACUCUGGUGGAGGUCCGUAGCGAUUCUGACGUGCAAAUCGAUCGUCGGACCUGGGUAUAGGGGCGAAAGACUAAUCGAACCAUCUAGUAGCUG
rnacentral:rRNA from 1 species